rnacentral:lncRNA from 1 species
AUUCUGAUAACUUCUUGGUCAAGCAAGCAGUGUGAUUGGAAGCAGCAUGGCUUACUGGGAUGAGUAUAGUAGGAUGCAGGUCCCAAUCUUCAGCUCACCCAAGCUCAUUUCCAAAUACUGCAAUGAGAACUGGUUUAAACGUAAUAACUGCUAAGGGGUUAAUCAGUUGGACAUUAUGAACCUCCCAAAUCCGGGCAGACGAAGACGUAGGUAGGAUUUUGGCACUCAGACUCAUCCCGUCUCUGCCUCAAGCCUUUUGUGUUCAUUAAGCUGCAAGGAAUGGAGCUUCUCCUGAAAAAACAGGGUCAGAGAAUGAGUUGUGUCACAAGAGUUUGCCACGUUUUCUUUCAUUUGAAAAGCUUCUUUGAAAAAAUUAAUGUUUUUGAUAGACAAUGAUCAAUAGGAUAGGCUCCUGACCGUUCAUACGUAAAAUGUGGCUUCUGAAAUAUGAAUGACCAUUCAGCCUGACAACACCUGGUGGAUGCAAUGUUCAUAAAUCACUAAUGACUCUUAAAUGAAAAGGUCUCUACAUUCACAGCGUGUCUCAAAUGUGGGCAAGGGAUUGAACAAAUGACACCCAUCUCUUUUCUAACAAGCAGAACCAAACGGAGACAGCUAUACCCUGCUAUCUUCCCCAAGACACAUUGGGAACAUAAAACAAUUGAAUGAGUCAGAGCCACUGUGGGGACAGAGCAGUAGAAAGUGACUGACUCACUGAGGGCAUCCAAAGGGGCAUGCUGCCCACGGCCUUGGCUGAUAAACUGGAGGGCAAAACUGUGAAUAACACUCUUGUUAGGUCACUGCUGAUUCAAAAUGGGGGAUUUCAAAGGCAUGACUACAAUUUGUGGGCAUGCCACACAACAAAAGAGUAUUUAUGAGUAUAUUUUACACGGAAUACUUAUUUGAAAUGUAUCUUCAGAUACCAUAUUUAACACACUUGGUUUGAACACAUUGUAAAUUGCAUUUCCACACAUGAUAUUAACAAGUCUAUCACAUUUAUCACACAAACAGGUUGUUGAGAACGCAUUGCAAUGGUCUUUAAACCUACUCUACUCUUUAAAACUCACUUAUGAAAACAAAUGGUUAUUACAUGCUGAAAUGCAAUGGUAUUUCUCAUUCACAAAAUAUUUUAUUUUCAUCAUGCCUUUAAGACGUUUUACAGCUUAAACUGGCCUGAGCCUUAUUCUCAUUGCAGAAAUAAGACAAUGUGGGCAUUGUAGAGACCUCAAAGAUAAGUCUG